GAGUUUGAUCUUGGCUCAGAUUGAACGCUGGCGGCAUGCCUUACACAUGCAAGUCGAACGGCAGCACGGGAGCUUGCUCCUGGUGGCGAGUGGCGAACGGGUGAGUAAUGCAUCGGAACGUAUCCUGGAGUGGGGGAUAACGUAGCGAAAGUUACGCUAAUACCGCAUAUUCUGUGAGCAGGAAAGCGGGGGACCUUCGGGCCUCGCGCUCUUGGAGCGGCCGAUGUCGGAUUAGCUAGUUGGUGAGGUAAAGGCUCACCAAGGCGACGAUCCGUAGCAGGUCUGAGAGGAUGAUCUGCCACACUGGAACUGAGACACGGUCCAGACUCCUACGGGAGGCAGCAGUGGGGAAUUUUGGACAAUGGGGCAACCCUGAUCCAGCCAUGCCGCGUGAGUGAAGAAGGCCUCGGUUGUAAGGUACGUACUUUCGUCGUACGGGAA
rnacentral:rRNA from 1 species